UCUUCAGAGUUUUCUUAUCAGCCACUUUGAAAUUGGAAGUUUUAAGUUAAAGGCCAUCGAGCUCGCUAUCUAGGAAGGAAACUGCACUUCUGCACACCAGCUUAGCAUAAAUGAAUCUAUGGUGAGACGUUGGAGGCGGCUGGUGCAUACAUGCACAUUUACAGUACAAAGUCGUUCUAAUUUUUUAACAUAGAUAUCUGUGGCUUAUAGCUGGGUACAGAUUGUAUAUCCCUUUUUAAAUUUAUUUAAUAGAGCUUAUAUGCAGGAGCAUUUUAUCGUCCAGAAAAUACGAUAAAUACUUCACCCUCAGUCUUCUUUCAUCUCUGAUACAAACUCAUUCAAAAACUGGACGGCUGCUCUCAUAAAGUGGUUUUGUUGUGUUUUUGUUUUGUUACCGGGCAACUCUGACAAACGUACAUCAAACAGCAGUUUGGAAAUCUGCGAUCUGUGAGGAGGAAAAAAAAAAUCCCCUUACAGAGAGGCAGAUUCUGCAGGUUUUUAGUCUGCAGAGGUGGGUCCUGUGCAUGAAGACACACUUUGCCUCACUUCAAAAGGAAAGUGCUUAAACCGCAGAAUGAUUUGCAGAUUUGAGGCCUCCAGGCUGGUGCCAAAGCAUCUGCUCACUUUACUGCCUGCAAGAGAGAAAAUGAAGUUCACGUUGGGAGUCUCCCGUCCUGAGUCAGAAUCGAUUCAAAUCUGGUCCAAGUUUCCAGUUUUCCCUCAACAAACUAAGAAAAUCUUGAGUAGUAGAGCUCAGGGUAGCAUGAACUUAUUUUUGUUUUUAUUAGAUGCUUAAUGAGGCCUUUAGCUUGAGCAUCCAUAUUUCUGUUGGGAAACCGAGGCUGUUAAAGCUGUAGUCCAUCAACUUCUUAAAUAAAAUGAUAGAUUAUAUUUGGGUUCUUCAUUAUUAUUUUAAUAAAUGUGUUGGAAGUGA